rnacentral:rRNA from 1 species
GACGGAGGAUGCAAGCGUUAUCCGGAAUCAUUGGGCGUAAAGCGUACGUAGGCGGCUUAUCAAGUCUGGGGUCAAAGACCAGAGCUUAACUGUGGACAGGCCUUGGAAACUAGUGAGCUGGAGUGAGGUAGGGGUUGCGGGAAUUCCCGGUGUAGCGGUGAAAUGCGUAGAUAUCGGGAAGAACACCUGAGGCGAAAGCGCGCGACUGGGCCUUAACUGACGCUGAGGUACGAAAGAUAGGGGAGCGAAUGGG